AGCAAGGAGACAGACGGGGGCAUUUACGGUGGUCAUGGUCAGCUUUUACCUUUAAAUAUGACAGAACCAAAUGCUUGGAAAGUGGGGUGUUCUUUGGAACCUGGAAACAUACAGCAAAGAAGGAGGAGUUAAGGCUCGAGGACUGACAAACUAUUCGCUAAGGAGUCGAAGGUCCCACCCUGAGGAACACCCAUAUGCUUUCCUGACCAUUUGAGAAAGACACUGGGAUGAAGGAAAGGUCGGGACGCUUAUGCGCUGCUACACAUAUUUUCCAGCCCUCACAAAUACCAGUGGAGAUUCAUUGCAUAAGAGACAAGCUUGCACAUGGAUGCUACUGUUCUUAAAUGCACUUUAUUGAAGUACACUCUACUGUCUGUAAAUCUGUAAAAUGUUCUUUUUGCCUUUAUGUGUUCUGAUUAUUUCAAUAAUAACAAUCUCUGCAAAGUUCCAUCUUUUUGAGGUUAUAGAAAACCCCUGCAUGCCAUUAUUCCACUUUGACCUAUAUUCUUCUAGUAAGAAAAACAGGACUACUUCAGAAAGUCAUGUGACAUGCCUGCAAAAGAGUCUUGAAUAGGAGGAGCUAUUGGGGUGUCCAGUGCUGAUCACGCUUGGACCGCAUGAGCAGCUGUGUGGACAUCCUCCUGCUGCAUGGCUGACCAUAAAUCACUCACACCGAGAACUAGAGCAGCUGUCCCUGGAAGAGAUCAUGUCACCGUAAACCCAGCAUCACAGCAAAGCUGAAUACCUGUUGCAUUAAGUUUUUAACUGUUUGUUAAGGUAGCCUAUACAACAAAGCCUUUAUUAGAUUUUUUUAUGCAAACAUGUAAUUUCUUCAGAAAAUUUAGUUACUAUUUAGACAAUGGCAAGAUGCCAAACAGGAAAGAACCGAACUUAAUGGAAAAAGCUAUUACUUACGGACAUGUGCAUGUCAGCAUACCAUCCAAUGUAAAAACAUAAAUAUUUAUUUAAUCCAUGGAUGACAUUUACUGAUGUCUAUCUAUAUACAGUUGUUUUCCAACCAAAGUUAAAUUAAUCACUUUCUGGAGGAUGAUGCCAUAAGGAACUGGAUUUUUAGUUAAAUUAAACACAGGGUGGAAAUUCAAACCUAUAACAGAUUAGAGACCAAAUUAUUUAUAAAAAAAAAAAAAAAAAACAAAAAAAAAAAUCAAAUAUUUCACCAGUAAUGUUUUUUAAUAAAUUGGCAGUUUUGAAUAUUGCUUAUCGCUAAAAAUGGAAAGAUCAUAGUAAACCAAAGUAGCUUAAGUAGUUAUUAAUCACGCUAUGUACAUUUCAUUCUGAUAUUAUUGCCAUAAAGAAAUACCAUAUGCUUAAAAUGUAUAACUAUGAUAAAAGGAAUAACAGGAUCCUGUUGCUAAUGAUGAUAAACAACCAACAUUAGCAGUUCUUGUCGUUAUUAUUACUGUUGAAACUUUAGCAUGUGAGAGAACAACUUAUUUAUACGUUAAACUUAAGAACAGAGUCAUAGAAAAGCCCUCAUAGAGGUGCAUGGUGUUUGUUGUUGAACUGAAAGCAUGAAGGUGUCAGUGUUGAUACGCCUUGUCCAUUAUACUACUUUCCCUCAUGACAUAAGCAUAUACAUUUGAUUAACAUGCUCUGAAAUAAUUAUGCUAUUUCAUGCUUAAUUAUAUCCGUGCUAUAAGUAAAUGACAUGCAGUUAAAUAAAACCGUAUUAAACCAUUAA